UACGUAGGGUGCGAGCGUUAAUCGGAAUUACUGGGCGUAAAGAGUGCGUAGGCGGUUCUCCAAGUCCGUUGUGAAAGCCCCGGGCUCAACCUGGGAAUGGCAGUGGAAACUAGGGGACUUGAAUCUGGCAGAGGGGGGUGGAAUGCCGCGUGUAGCAGUGAAAUGCGUAGAGAUGCGGCGGAACACCGAUGGCGAAGGCAGCCCCCUGGGCUGAGAUUGACGCUCAGGCACGAGAGCGUGGGGAGCAAACAGG
rnacentral:rRNA from 1 species